UUUUUUACAGCUCAGUGGUAGAGUAAAUGUUUUGCAUGCACAAGGUCCCAGCUUCAAUCCCUGGCACCCCCAGUUUAAAAAAA